rnacentral:rRNA from 1 species
AUGCGGAACACUGUUAGAAUUGGAGAAGUUGGACGACAUGAAUCUGCAGAAGGAGACCAGAUCCAGUUCGGUGGUCAAAAUGAUAAAUUGCAGGGAGUAGGAGAAACUAUCCUAACUCUAUCCUCGGUCGCAAAAGAUCUACCUGUAGACACCAUUGCAGGAACAGAAGGGGAAAAGGCAGGAGCUAAUCAGGAGGUCACAAAUCUGGGAAGAGGAGAAACCAACACAACGACUAUAGCAAAGAAUCAGAUAGUUAGUGGUAAUCAGGGAGGAGAGCAUCGGCGUAGAGUUUCAGGCUGGGAUGUUCGGCCGACUAACGGAUCCGGAGAUUUUAACUCAGGAGAUUCAAGACUUCCUUUUGUUGGCUCUGGAGGUCCCAUUAGAAAUCGCCAUUAUUUAUCUAAGAAAAUAAUCAAUCAGAAUCGUAUGCGCAAAGAUAAUAGUUCUAUUAAGGAAAGAACUGGUAGUCCUUAUCCUUAUCGCUACAACAGAUCUCCUGCAAGAGUGGAAUCAAUAGGAGGAGAGGACUAUGAACCAUGUCCUAUUAGGACACCCUCACCAUCCUCUAGCACAGGCUCUCUGGGGUCCAGAUAUGGCGCUUUCUCCCCUCCUAUGACAGUUGAUGACAGAUAUAAGGGUAUGGAUGCUCAUGCUGACUAUGGGGGUGCUGAAGCUUCAACCAAAGUACAAGGUCAAGUUGGGGAAAGUAGCAAUGACAAUGGUUAUACAUUUCCAGUUCUGGAAACUCAUCCAGAAGGUGACAUGGAAGUUGAUGGGGCUAUGGCGCCAGCCCUUAAGGCGCCACGGGCGCCAUGA